rnacentral:rRNA from 1 species
AGCAGCCGCGGUAAUUCCAGCUCCAAUAGCGUAUAUUAAAGUUGUUGCAGUUAAAAAGCUCGUAGUUGAAUUUCGGGAUUGACGUGAUGGUCAUGCCUUAAGGGGUAUGAACUGUUGCAGUUGAUUUCUCACCUUCUGGAAAAAACCUUGAUGUCCUUUAUUGGGUGUCUUGCGGAUCCAGGACCUUUACCUUGAAAAAAUUUAGAGUGUUUAAAGCAGGCAUUUUUGCUCGAAUACAUUAGCAUGGAAUAAUAGAAUAGGACGGCAUGGUUCUAUUUUGUUGGUUUCUAGGAUCACCGUAAUGAUUAAUAGGGAUAGUUGGGGGCAUUAGUAUUCAAUUGUCAGAGGUGAAAUUCUUGGAUUUAUUGAAGACUAACUACUGCGAAAGCAUUUGCCAAGGAUGUUUUCAUUAAUCAAGAACGAAAGUUAGGGGAUCGAAGACGAUCAGAUACCGUCGUAGUCUUAACCAUAAACUAUGCCGACUAGGAAAUCAGACGAUGUUAAUUUUUUAAAUGACUCG